rnacentral:lncRNA from 1 species
UGUCUCUAGAGGACAGAUAAAAUCUUUGACGGUACGGUUAAAGGAAAUUUUGUUAAGAUGAAAAUCUGAAUCUUGUGUAAUCUAUGAUUUUAGUUGUGUUGAUUACUGGUGUUUAACUCUGCUAUGUUAUAAAGACUACUUUCUUGCGUCUAGGCUUUUAUGCCAAUCAGAGAAUCAGCGAAGUUUACAUUUUAUGUACUGUUACUCCAUUAACCAUACUGUAGUUACAAUUAAUUUUAUUUCUAUUAACUCUGGUGAUGGACUGUAAAUGUAACCUGACUGUAUAGCUUUAAAAAACACUAUAAAUUUGGAGUUGAAUAAACUGUUAAAAAGUC